GUGAGACAGUUCGGUCCCUAUCUGCCGUGGGUGUUCGAGACUUGAGAGGAUCUGUCCCUAGUACGAGAGGACCGGGAUGGACGUACCUCUGGUGUACCUGUUGUCGCGCCAGCGGCACCGCAGGGUAGCUAUGUACGGACGGGAUAACCGCUGAAAGCAUCUAAGCGGGAAACCCCCCUCAAAACCAGGUCUCGCUUGAGAGCCGUGAUAGACCAUCACGUCGAUAGGCCAGGGGUGUAAGCGCGGUAACGCGUUCAGCUGACUGGUACUAAUCGCUCGAUAGGCUUGAUCA
rnacentral:rRNA from 1 species